UUAUAUGGAGUAGUAAAUUAGUAUUUCUCGUCCAUCGUCCUCAUCCAAGAAUUGCCAUUCCUCUCAUAGCCAAACCUGAUUCUACUAUACUUUCAUAUUCUUUCUUUCCACAUUAUAAACCCCAAAUUUUUUCUGUUCUUUUUUGGGCUCAUAAAAUCUCAACAACCUACUUCAUUUCCUUGUCAUAUCACUCCAAUUCUGGCAAUAUAUUGACAACUAGCCAUAGGAAAAAAAACUUGAGCUUUACAUACCAUGAGAGACAGGGGUAAAAGAGAGCUUGAAGAAUAUAACAACGUAGAUUUCUUUGGAGAAAACUUCAUAGAGUUUCCAUGCAAAAAGCACCCAACUUCAUCAUCUUCUUCAGGUGGGAUUUGUGCUUAUUGUCUCACUGAUAGACUAGCUCAGCUAGUUUGCCCACAAUGUGGAGAACAAAGGCUUCCUUUAUGUUCUUGCUCUGAGAUCUUCUCAUCAAACCCUAAUUCUUCCACUACUGAUGUUGGAAGAAUCUCAUUCUUGCUUGAAAAUGAGAAGGGUGCUGAGAUCUCAGCUUCGAAACCGAAAACCGAGCAAAGAUCAUCUAACAAUAAUGAUGAUCUAAACACUCUGAGAAGAAGCAAUAGCAUUUCUGUUGGUGAUAUGAAUAACAGUAAAAAACCAGAAACAGGCAAGUUUUGGAAGAUUGGAAAAUUGUUUAGGAAAAAAAGAGACAAAAGCAACCAUGUUAAGAACAAUAAUGAAGAGAAUAAUGAGUGUAAUGGGGUUUCAAGAUCAAGGUCACUUUGCAGUUUCAGAGGAUUUUAUGAUCCUGAAGAAAAUGGCGCUUUCCCAGUUUCAUCAUCAGCUGCAAGAGCUUCAAGUGUAAGCACUGGGAAUUUCGUCGUUGAUUCGGCGAAACAAAGCUGUUUUAGUGAAUCUGACGCAAGGAUUAGCAACUUUGAUUACUGUGAUACUUCAAGUUUUAUGGGUCCAAACAAGAAUAUUUUCUCAUUGAAAGAAACUGAGUUUGUAAGUUGUGAUGAUCCUGCUUUUAUUGAUUUAAAGUUGCAUGAUAAUAUGUCAUCAGAUUCAAGAGUGCCUGAUCUUGCUUCUUUGAGAAGAAGUGGACUUGGAUUAUCAACCAAAGAAUUCGGUUUUCGAGGAAAUGAUCAUGGUUUUGGGCAUGAGAUGUACAACAAUGGUGGAGGAUCAUGUAGAAUUAGUAAUGUUAGAGAUAGAGAAAGAGAUUUGAGAAAGUGCAGAAAGAGUUACAAAGUUUGGAGAUGGUUUCGAUGAUCAAUGAUGCUUUCAAGUCAUAAGAAAUUUGUUCUUCAUGACAGGGUGAAAAGAGCGAAACCAGGUAAAGGUUUGCGGCAAGCAUGCUAGAAAAUGAAUGCCCAAAAGAAUUCAAGACACAAAGGCAGACUCGAUCAGCAAACAAUUAUGUUGGACCAGUUUUCUUUCAUGUAACAAUCAGUAACAGUUCUCACCAAAAAAGAAAAAACUCAGGAACAGUAGUAGUGCAUGUAUCAAACAUCCCCUUUCCUCUUAUUACGAAGUCUAAAGCUCAUUAAGAUAUCCGGUUCCAGUUUCCUACAUCUAAGAACAUUUUUUACGAAAUCAAAUCUUUUGUCCCAUAUCUUAUAUA